rnacentral:rRNA from 1 species
AUUGAACGCUGGCGGCAUGCCUUACACAUGCAAGUCGAACGGUAACGCGGGGCAACCUGGCGACGAGUGGCGAACGGGUGAGUAAUGCAUCGGAACGUGCCUGGUAGUGGGGGAUAACUGCUCGAAAGAGCAGCUAAUACCGCAUACGACCUGAGGGUGAAAGGGGGGGAUCGCAAGACCUCUCGCUAUUAGAGCGGCCGAUGUCGGAUUAGCUAGAUGGUGGGGUAAAGGCCCACCAAGGCAACGAUCCGUAGCUGGUCUGAGAGGACGACCAGCCACACUGGGACUGAGACACGGCCCAGACUCCUACGGGAGGCAGCAGUGGGGAAUUGUUCGCAAUGGGCGAAAGCCUGACGACGCAACGCCGCGUGGAGGAUGAAGGUCUUCGGAUUGUAAACUCCUGUUGCCAGGGACGAAUGACUCGCGACCUAACACGUCGUGGGAAUGACGGUACCUGGUGAGGAAGCCCCGGCUAACUCUGUGCCAGCCGCCGCCGUAACAC